rnacentral:snRNA from 1 species
GUGCUCGCUUUGGCAGCACAUAUACUAACAUUGGAACGAUACAGAGAUUAGCAUGGCCCCUGCGCAAGGAUGACAUGCAAAUUCGUGAAGCGUAAAAAAAAAAA